GAAAUUUACCCUUUUAUCCUACACCAAACAGAAAAUUAAACAAGUUAUCAAGGUCAAAAUCGACCUUACACAGAGUCAAAACUCAGUUGACUCCCUGAAGUUAACAAAAAACGACAGUCUUUUAUUCCCUAGACUACAAGUCGUUUUGCAAUAACCCUAAUUAACCUCCCCAAGAAAUAUCUAGAAUCAAUUCAUUUGCACACACACACGAAACCCAAAUAUGAAACCCUAGCAGAGCUUCGAGUUUCUUCUCUAGAAACUCGAAGUCUGCUCACAACCCAGAAAAACCAAUUAAUCCCUUCACGGAUCAAAAUCAACUCCCAAAUCCAUACACAACACAGAGAAAUAUCUAAAAAUAAAGCAAGUGAAAUUAGAAAGAGUGUACCAUAAAUUUUAUAGAGGUUCCCCAAAUGUUGCUGGGUACAUCCUUUUCGAGCUCGCCUCAGAAAAGCUCGUUUCCACUAUUGAAUCUUCAAGAUCAAAGAGUUACAAAGCUAGAUUCCAAAUCACAUGUACGAUUGGUAAUCUUUUGAGUUUACAGUGUUUAUUUUCUCUCUUUUCUCUCUGAAUAUGCACUAAUUUCUUCUUCUUCUUCUGUGUAUGUUUCCCCCUUGGUUUGGAUCUCCGAGCCCUAACCCUAGGGCUCCAAGACUUAACCACUUUUUGUUUUUGUGAGGCUAUGGCUAAUAUGGGACGUGUUGAUACUAGCCUUGAGGAACAGCAUAUGAAUAUUGCAUUGGAAGAUGAUACUGAAGAAUGUUACAUUCUAUGAUGAAGGUGUUGAAGAUUUAUCAGAGAUUGAUACUCGUUGAUAUCUUGUGGGUCAAUUUCUCACAGAUCAGUCUAUUGAUUUUUAAGCAAUGAAACACAAGAUGACAUAGUUAUGGAGACUCAGUAGAGGGUUGUCUGUGAAAGAACUAGAGCCCAAUCGUGUUUUGUUUCAGUUUUACCAUGAAGUAGACAAUGAAAGGGUAAUGGAGAGUAGCCCUUGGACUUUCGAUAGGGUGCCUCUAAUCUUUGAAAGACUUAAAGAUGGAGAUAAUCCUCGUAGUGUAGUCCUUAAUCGGCUGCAUUCUUGGGUUCAAAUACAUGCCUUAAAAACUAUAUUCAUGGUAGAAAGAGUUGUACGGAAUCUGGGUAUGUGGGAUCGAUCUGACCUUAAUAACUUCAUGGGGUUUGGAGAGAUUAUCUAAGGGUUUGAUUUUAAAAAAAUAUAUAUUUAAAAAAAAUUAGUACAAAGAUCAUUUAUAAAAUAUAAAACACAAACGACAAAAAAAAAUUACUAACUGAUUAUUAGGUACCACAUCGGUAUGACAUUGAUCACUUUAAGUGCCAAUAACAAGUACCAAUCAGGGUCGGCGCUAGGCAUAGGCAAGCUAGGCCCACGCCUAGGGCCCACUCAUUUAAGGGGCCUAAAUAAAAAAAUUACAUUUUAAAAAUAUACAUAUUUUUUUAACAAUUUUUAAAAAUAUCAUUUAUCUUUAUAGUAAGGACCCAAAAAAAUAUUUUUGCCUAUUACCUUUUUCAA